UAGCACAGUCGGUAGAGCACCAGACUCUUAAUCUGGCUGUCGCGGGUUCGAGCCCCGC
rnacentral:tRNA from 1 species